rnacentral:rRNA from 1 species
GACGAACGCUGGCGGCGUGCUUAACACAUGCAAGUCGAACGAGUGGGAACGGGUGAGUAACGCGUGGGUAACCUCCCAUCAGAGGGGAUAACACUUGGAAACAGGUGCUAAAACCGAUACUGAUGGAUGGGCCCGCGGUGCAUUAGCUAGUUGGUGAGGUAACGGCUCACCAAGGCGACGAUGCAGAGCCGACCUGAGAGGGUGAUCGGCCACACUGGGACUGAGACACGGCCCAGACUCCUACGGGAGGCAGCAGUAGGGAAUCUUCGGCAAUGGACGAAAGUCUGACCGAGCAAUGCCGCGUGAGUGAAGAAGGUUUUCGGAUCGUAAAACUCUGUUGUUAGAGAAGCGGUAUCUAACCAGAAAGCCACGGCUAACUACGUGCCAGCAGCCGCGGUAAUAC